rnacentral:misc_RNA from 1 species
AUAGAACCAAAUCGGAAGGAACAAACAUGUACUGAAUCUAGUUACUGAAUCUCCAUACAAAGGGAAAAAAACAUACAACCACCAAACAUGGAUGAGCGAAUGUUGUGGAAGAACUGGCAAUAUCUGAAGAAUGAAAUCUACGUGGAGGAUUUUAUUGAUGCGAUGAUGGAGGCUGGGAUUUUUACUGCCCAGAAUAAGAGGGAUAUCAUGAUGGUGCAGCCCAGCACGCGCCAAAUGAAGGCCGAAAAGUUCCUGAACGUCCUCAUCCAGGCCGGCGAGAAGGGGUACGAGAUGUUUACUACCGUGCUCCACGCCAUGAGAACAGACAACCGAUACACGUCCCUGAUUGCAGGCCAGACACCCGAGGCUCACAAAGACCUUCCACAGCUUCAAGCGGAAGUACUGAUAUAAGCAGAGAUGGUGAAACCGGAGAGAAAAAUCGGCGAUCUGCAAGACAAGCAUGGCGGUCUCAGAAUUCCGGAAGUAACCCCAACAGCGCAAGCUCACGACGUCCAACAAGUAAUAGUGGCGCUCGUGGAGGAAUAGUCCGUCAGCCCAGCACGGGAGAGGUCAAUUCAGUAACUAGAUUCCCAAACCAAGCGCAGCCACCUCAACCAUCUUACGUGGCAGACGAGCAACCGCCAUCAGCCGCUUCUUGCGAUGACAAACGACUAAACGAGAAAGACUUGUCAGUGGACAUGAACAUCUUGGAGCAGGAACUUGUUCGCAUCGCACCAACCAUUGCUGAGCUCUUCCAAAAGAUAUCGAAGACGACAUCCUCAAAUAUUCCGGUCAGCGAAGAAGAAAUCCGCAAGGUGAAGGAGGAAAACGAGAGGCUGCGAAAAACUAACAGGGCACUGAUUGAGAAGCUGAACAACUUCCAGCAAAAAAUCAUCCAGUUGCAGUUGGAGAAUAAGAAUCUAAGGGAAAAUGGCGAAGGUGCAAAAGAGGCAAAGGAAGAACUUGGGCGCAAAGCUCGGGAAUUACAAGACAUGGAAAGGAGACUGGAAGAACAGAAAAAUGCACUGGAAGAAAAAGAAAUGGAGCUUAACAUACAGCUGAUGAAAAUCAAGGAAAUUGAAAAGGACAUUAUCCGCCAGAAACGGCAGAUCACGAAACUCGAGAUUCUUCACGAGGAAGGCCAGCAAGAAAACGAGCGGCAACAGGAAGAAAUCGCCAUAUUGAAAGAGGACCGUUAUAAACAGCAGGAACAGAUUCGUCAGCUGGAGCUAAAGCAAAGACAGGGAGACGAACGGCUGCGACGACUGGAGGAAAGACUGAAGCAGAUAGAGGAAGCCCCGGUCAACAAAACCAAGAGCAUCAAAUCCCGGGACCCCAAAUUCAGGACGACCAAGCGACUUCUGGGUCAGAUGUACAACAGCGAAAUCACGUGAUAAACAUGACGUCACUCAAACCUGAAAAAAAAAUAUGCAGACAUACAAGCCUUUCCAUUUCAUUAUAAAAUGGCAAUUUUAAUGUUAAUUUUUUUAUCUGUAAGUUGAAUUGUAUUUUGUCCAGAGAACCUUUUCAUUGAGAGUGUUGUAAAUCGUUUCUGUUAAGAAUUCUUAUGAUGUUGAUGUUCGAUUUUAUGUACGACGAAUUUUUUAUCUUAUAAAAUGAAAUAUUCAAAAU